GACGAACGCUGGCGGCGUGCCUAACACAUGCAAGUCGAGCGAAUGAAGUUCCUUCGGGAACGGAUUUAGCGGCGGACGGGUGAGUAACACGUGGGCAACCUGCCUCAUAGAGGGGAAUAGCCUUCCGAAAGGAAGAUUAAUACCGCAUAAGACUGUAGCUUCGCAUGAAGCAGCAAUUAAAGGAGCAAUCCGCUAUGAGAUGGGCCCGCGGCGCAUUAGCUAGUUGGUGAGGUAACGGGUCACCAAGGCGACGAUGCGUAGCCGACCUGAGAGGGUGAUCGGCCACAUUGGGACUGAGACACGGCCCAGACUCCUACGGGAGGCAGCAGUGGGGAAUAUUGCACAAUGGGGGAAACCCUGAUGCAGCAACGCCGCGUGAGUGAUGACGGUCUUCGGAUUGUAAAGCUCUGUCUUCAGGGACGAUAAUGACGGUACCUGAGGAGGAAGCCACGGCUAACUACGUGCCAGCAGCCGCCGCCGUAA
rnacentral:rRNA from 1 species